AAAAGAAAUCAACCGAGAUUCCCCCAGUAGCGGCGAGCGAACGGGGAGCAGCCCAGAGCCUGAAUCAGUGUGUGUGUUAGUGGAAGCGUCUGGAAAGGCGCGCGAUACAGGGUGACAGCCCCGUACACAAAAAUGCACAUGCUGUGAGCUCGAUGAGUAGGGCGGGACACGUGGUAUCCUGUCUGAAUAUGGGGGGACCAUCCUCCAAGGCUAAAUACUCCUGACUGACCGAUAGUGAACCAGUACCGUGAGGGAAAGGCGAAAAGAACCCCGGCGAGGGGAGUGAAAAAGAACCUGAAACCGUGUACGUACAAGCAGUGGGAGCACGCUUAGGCGUGUGACUGCGUACCUUUUGUAUAAUGGGUCAGCGACUUAUAUUCUGUAGCAAGGUUAACCGAAUAGGGGAGCCGAAGGGAAACCGAGUCUUAACUGGGCGUUAAGUUGCAGGGUAUAGACCCGAAACCCGGUGAUCUAGCCAUGGGCAGGUUGAAGGUUGGGUAACACUAACUGGAGGACCGAACCGACUAAUGUUGAAAAAUUAGCGGAUGACUUGUGGCUGGGGGUGAAAGGCCAAUCAAACCGGGAGAUAGCUGGUUCUCCCCGAAAGCU
rnacentral:rRNA from 1 species